GAUGAACGCUGGCGGCGUGCCUAAUACAUGCAAGUCGAACGAAACUUCUUUAUCACCGAGUGCUUGCACUCACCGAUAAAGAGUUGAGUGGCGAACGGGUGAGUAACACGUGGGCAACCUGCCCAAAAGAGGGGGAUAACACUUGGAAACAGGUGCUAAUACCGCAUAACCAUAGUUACCGCAUGGUAACUAUGUAAAAGGUGGCUAUACUACCGCUUUUGGAUGGGCCCGCGGCGCAUUAGCUAGUUGGUAGGGUAAAGGCUUACCAAGGCAAUGAUGCGUAGCCGAAUUGAGAGGUUGAUCGGCCACAUUGGGACUGAGACACGGCCCAAACUCCUACGGUAGGCAGCAGUAGGGAAUCUUCCACAAUGGGCGAAAGCCUGAUGGAGCAACGCCGCGUGGGUGAAGAAGGUCUUCGGAUCGUAAAACCCUGUUGUUAGAGAAGAAAGUGCGUGAGAGUAACUGUUCACGUUUCGACGGUAUCUAACCGGAAAGCCACGGCUAACUACGUG
rnacentral:rRNA from 1 species